CUCGUUCAUACUGUGCAGUUGGUAUCUCGCUACUGAUGUUGGUUAAGUCUGCUGCACAUGUUAAUUAUUUUAUAGCAGUGCAGAGCUGCAAGAGGUUCUCUGAACUAACGAAGAUUCCAAGUCUCGUGCAGUGGUGCAGGUCUCGGUAUCUUCAAUGUCGUCCAUGGAACUUAAGAAACGUCGUCGAGCUAAGAUAAAUGAAGAAUGACACGUACUUUACAAGUUUGAAUAUUAAUAAAUAGUAUACUCAUAUCCUGAGGGCUAGUUGGCUAUGCAAAACCCAAAAGAAUUUUUUAAAGCUGAUUUUCUGAGCCGGUUUGAUAUAGUGUCAUUUAGUCGCUUGGACUUGGAGAUGCUGAGAAAUCUGAUGGAUUAAAAUGGAAAAAGAUCACUCUUUAUUGAAUUUGAUCUUUUGGAUUGCUAUUACGUGGCUUUACAGUCACCCUGACUAAGAAAUGCUUUGAAAUCAGAAUCUGUUGCUGCAAUCAACAACUCCAUUGAUUCACCGACCAAGAAAUACAUAAUUAGAUAUAAUUUGUUUAUAUGUAAUUUUUAUAUAUAUAAUAUAAAAUAAUUUAUAUAUGUAUGGAAAAACAUAUAUAUGAAAACUUCAUCGUAUGUGGAGUUAUGUGAGCGAAAUGCGCUUCAAAAUAUUCUUGUAGUAUUAAAACAGCAUCAAAGCUUU